AAAUUGAAGAGUUUGAUCAUGGCUCAGAUUGAACGCUGGCGGCAGGCCUAACACAUGCAAGUCGAACGGUAGCACAGAGAGCUUGCUCUCGGGUGACGAGUGGCGGACGGGUGAGUAAUGUCUGGGAAACUGCCCGAUGGAGGGGGAUAACUACUGGAAACGGUAGCUAAUACCGCAUAACGUCGCAAGACCAAAGUGGGGGACCUUCGGGCCUCACACCAUCGGAUGUGCCCAGAUGGGAUUAGCUAGUAGGUGGGGUAACGGCUCACCUAGGCGACGAUCCCUAGCUGGUCUGAGAGGAUGACCAGCCACACUGGAACUGAGACACGGUCCAGACUCCUACGGGAGGCAGCAGUGGGGAAUAUUGCACAAUGGGCGCAAGCCUGAUGCAGCCAUGCCGCGUGUAUGAAGAAGGCCUUCGGGUUGUAAAGUACUUUCAGCGAGGAGGAAGGCGUUGUGGUUAAUAACCACAGCGAUUGACGUUACUCGCAGAAGAAGCACCGGCUAACUCCGUGCCAGCAGCCGCGGUAAUACGGAGGGUGCAAGCGUUAAUCGGAAUUACUGGGCGUAAAGCGCACGCAGGCGGUUUGUUAAGUCAGAUGUGAAAUCCCCGGGCUCAACCUGGGAACUGCAUUUGAAACUGGCAAGCUUGAGUCUCGUAGAGGGGGGUAGAAUUCCAGGUGUAGCGGUGAAAUGCGUAGAGAUCUGGAGGAAUACCGGUGGCGAAGGCGGCCCCCUGGACAAAGACUGACGCUCAGGUGCGAAAGCGUGGGGAGCAAACAGGAUUAGAUACCCUGGUAGUCCACGCCGUAAACGAUGUCUACUUGGAGGUUGUGCCCUUGAGGCGUGGCUUCCGGAGCUAACGCGUUAAGUAGACCGCCUGGGGAGUACGGCCGCAAGGUUAAAACUCAAAUGAAUUGACGGGGGCCCGCACAAGCGGUGGAGCAUGUGGUUUAAUUCGAUGCAACGCGAAGAACCUUACCUGGUCUUGACAUCCACGGAAGUUUUCAGAGAUGAGAAUGUGCCUUCGGGAACCGUGAGACAGGUGCUGCAUGGCUGUCGUCAGCUCGUGUUGUGAAAUGUUGGGUUAAGUCCCGCAACGAGCGCAACCCUUAUCCUUUGUUGCCAGCGGUUAGGCCGGGAACUCAAAGGAGACUGCCAGUGAUAAACUGGAGGAAGGUGGGGAUGACGUCAAGUCAUCAUGGCCCUUACGACCAGGGCUACACACGUGCUACAAUGGCGCAUACAAAGAGAAGCGACCUCGCGAGAGCAAGCGGACCUCAUAAAGUGCGUCGUAGUCCGGAUUGGAGUCUGCAACUCGACUCCAUGAAGUCGGAAUCGCUAGUAAUCGUGGAUCAGAAUGCCACGGUGAAUACGUUCCCGGGCCUUGUACACACCGCCCGUCACACCAUGGGAGUGGGUUGCAAAAGAAGUAGGUAGCUUAACCUUCGGGAGGGCGCUUACCACUUUGUGAUUCAUGACUGGGGUGAAGUCGUAACAAGGUAACCGUAGGGGAACCUGCGGUUGGAUCACCUCCUUA
rnacentral:rRNA from 2 species